UUUUCUUCUUUUAAAUAUAGUCUCCUCCUUUACUGUGUUGAUUCCCUUUAUGUAUUUAAAUGUUUCUAUCAUAUCCCCCUGUCUCGUUUUUCCUCCAAGCUAUACAUGUUAAGUUCCUUUAACCUUUCCUUGUAAGUUUUAUCCUGCAAUCCAUGAACCAGUUUAGUAGCCCUUCUCUGAACCUUCUCUAAGGUAUCAAUAUCCUUCUGAAGAU